GACAGGCGGACACACGGACAGAGGGACGGACGCGGCGCGGCGCCGCCACAGGGCCCUCACGAAUCCCCCGCCGCCCGCGCAGCCAAUCAGCGAGCGGCCUGCCCGCCGCAGCCAAUCAAAGCUCGCUACAGUGACUGCCCCGGCGGCACAGCCAAUGGCAGAGCGCCGCUCCUUCCCCUCCCGCUGGGCCGGCCGGGAGCGGCGGGGCCGCGCUGCCUCAGAGCCUCGGGCGGGCGCUGCGGCAGCCACCGCGGGCUCUCUGCGGAGCCGCCCCUCGCGGCUCGGUGUGCCGCUUCCUGGAUCUGGGCUCGGUGUGCCGCUUCCUGGAUCUCGGCGACGCGGCGGUGGCGCCCGCGCCCUUCGCUUCCGGGUUGCUGGGCACGAAGGAGGCGGGACUAGCUCCCCAAGGGACACGGGAUUGGCUGGCAAACCCCGAGCGCGUGGGCGGGGCCGGAGAGUCGCCGAUUCCCAUUGGUUGGUUGCCGUGCCGGUCGCGCAGAGCCGCGCGGCCAUUGGGCGGCGGCGGCGGCCGUCCCGCGGCGGCGGCGGCGCGCGGGGGAAGAUGUCGGGCGGCGACGCGAAGAAGCUGGUGCGCUCGCCCAGCGGGCUGCGCAUGGUGCCCGAGCACCGCGCCGCCCGCAGCCCCUUCGGCCUGGACGAGCCGCCCUGGGUGCCCGACAAGGAGUGCCCAAGAUGUAUGCAGUGUGAUACAAAAUUUGACUUCAUUACUAGAAAGCAUCACUGCCGAAGGUGUGGGAAGUGUUUCUGUGACAAGUGCUGCAGUAAAAAAGUGCCUCUGCCUCGCAUGUGCUUCGUGGACCCCGUGCGGCAGUGCGCGGAGUGCGCCCUGGUCUCGCAGAAGGAGACGGAGUUCUACGACAAGCAGCUCAAAGUGCUCAUGAAUGGUGCUACAUUCUUUGUAACUCUGGGAACAUCUGAUAAAUCUGAGCUCAUGGUUUGUCGACUUUCCAACAACCAGAGAUACCUGAUUUUGGAUGGAGACAGCCAUUAUGAAAUUGAAAUUAUACAGAUUUCAACUGUUCAGAUACUUACAGAGGGAUUUACUCCUGGAGAUUUUAGAUUAUUUCAGGAUGAACCUGAAUAUGAAUUGACUGAAAUGAGAACAAACAAGGAGGCAACACUCGUGCCAUAGGAAUGAUCCUGCAGUACAAGGUACCGGGGUCGGAGGAGGUGACGCAGAUGAAGUUUACUGCCGGCGAAGACUUCAGCUGUAACAAGAAGCUGUCAGCAGCCUGGCUGGCAGCUAUGCAUAAGGCAACAAAACUUCUCUAUGAAUCUCGGGACCAGUGAGAACUGCAGAUGUGGCCUCCUGAGGGCACACACAGACACCAGCCUCCACAGACCUGCCUCUCACUUUGUGCUGAUUUGACAGCUGGAAAUAUUUGCUGUUCUUGACUCUCUCUCAUUCCAGCGUGGUUCAUUAUGUAAGAACUGGCAAAGGCAAUGUGAGUAUUUUUUUGAACCAUGAGUAUUCACGGUAGUGUGCAAUAUGUAUACAGUUAAUGCUUUAAACAGCCUCACCUUUUAAGACUUUGUAUAUUUUGUUAAGCCUUUACUGGCACUUAAUAUGAAAGUGACCUGCACUACAGCUAAUGUACAGCACAACUUUUAUAGUAACCAUUAUAUAUACUGUUUGCUACAGGAAGCAAACAAAUGUGUAUGUCUCUUCUGCAGAGAAUAGCUUUUGGGUAUAGAUCUCAGGUUUUUCCCUCUAUCCAAAUGUUUAAAAUCAAUGUACAAAAAAAAAUCUGCCUUAGAUAUGAUUUUAUAGAGAUCACGUGAGUUUUUUUAAACAUUUAAUUUUAAACAUCUAAUUUUUUCACCAAAUACCACCAAAUUUGACUUAUAUGAACUUGACCGUGAAACUUCACUUGUGUAAUAAGCUUCCAGAAUAAUUUUUAGUUUUGUAUUUUCUUUUUUGGUAACGAGCUUUUGUUAAUCUAACUGUAAUGCUAUCUGAAAUUGUAUACAAUUUAAUGUACAAAUAUGAAUAAAUUAAUUCACUUAUUUAAAAAAA